rnacentral:lncRNA from 1 species
UUUUCUAGAAUAUGUUAAAAUCUGAUUAUCUUUCGCUGUCUAAAAUGCUCGGGCAUAUGUUGUCGUAUUUAUGACAGGCGCAACACAAAAGUUUAUCAGUUUCACAAACCUACUUGGAAUACAACACGAAUAUGAAGCCAAUUCUCUGUAGGAAUUUAACGCGGAGCAGCUGAAUUCUUGAAUUGAUUCCUGUGGCAAGAGCCAUGGAAAUCCCUGCUGUAAAUGAAGCUUCUGUUUCUGAAAAGGAAUUUGAUCUCUUUUGAGUUUUUGACUAGACCAGAAACAGCUAGCCCCAGCAGCAGCACUCAUCCACCUCAGAUUCCUACAACGCAAGCACAAUGAAUGAAUGUGGAUACUGCACAUAGAUAGUGCCAUACCCAAAUGUGACA